CUUGACUUUAGUGCAGUAGUGGAGCACAUGGCUAUGGUUUUUGUGGGGAAGAUUUUUCUGAAAAUGGGAUUGAGAAAGGUUACGGUGCUCCACUUCAUAGAUGUAUGGAACUUGGGAACAGAAGGAGGAAUAGAAAAGCAGAUUAUCGGACAAAUGUACAUUUAAGCACCUGGCUCAGGUAAACCUAGGAGCAGAUGGAGCAAGGAUCUACGUGGUAUUGUACAUCAGGCUCCACAAAAUUUGUGACUGAAGUUGGUCUUAUGCCAGCCUACAAUUAUGCAGG